GUGGAAGUAGCCUAACAGGUAAAGCACUGGAAUGAAAAUCCAGUUUAGAUGGUUCGAGUCCAUCCUUCCGCGCAA
rnacentral:tRNA from 1 species